rnacentral:rRNA from 1 species
GUAAGCGUUCGUAGGCGGUUUGUUAAGUUAGAUGUGAAAGCCCCGGGGAAGCCUGGGAACUGCAUUUAAAACUGGCAAACUCGAGUAAGGAGAGGGAAGUGGAAUUUCAGGUGUAGCAGUGAAAUGCGUAGAGAUCUGAAGGAACACCAGUGGCGAAGGCGACUUCCUGGACUAAAACUGACGCUGAGGAACGAAAGCGUGGGUAGCAAACGGGAUUAGAUACCCCGGUAGUCCACGCCGUAAACGAUGUCAACUAGCCGUUGGGCCUAUAUACAGGUUUAGUGGCGGAGCUAACGUAUUAAGUUGACCGCCUGGGGAGUACGGCCGCAAGGUUAAAACUCAAAUGAAUUGACGGGGGCCCGCACAAGCGGUGGAGCAUGUGGUUUAAUUCGAUGCUUUUUUUAAGAACCUUACCUACCCUUGACAUCCAGAGAAUCUGUUAGAGAUAGUAGAGUGCCUUCGGGAGCUCUGAGACAGGUGCUGCAUGGCUGUCGUCAGCUCGUGUCGUGAGGUGUUGGGUUAAGUCCCGUAACGAGCGCAACCCUUAUCCUUAGUUGCUAGCAGGUCAAGCUGAGAACUCUAAGGAGACUGCCGGUGAUAAACCGGAGGAAGGUGGGGACGACGUCAAGUCAUCAUGGCCCUUAUGGGUAGGGCUACACACGUGCUACAAUGGUCGGUACAGAGGGCCGCAAACUCGCGAGAGUAAGCUAAUCCCAGAAAGCCGAUCUUAGUCCGGAUUGCAGUCUGCAACUCGACUGCAUGAAGUUGGAAUCGCUAGUAAUCGCGGAUCAGAAUGCCGCGGUGAAUACGUU